GAGUUUGAUCCUGGCUCAGAAUGAACGCUGGCGGCGUGCUUUACACAUGCAAGUCGAGCGAGGCGGGCAGCUUGCUGCCCAGUCGAGCGGCGAACGGGUGAGUAACACGUGGAUACCUGCCUCUGGAUGGGGGAUAACCCGGGGAAACUCGGACUAAUACCGCAUGACAUCGAGAGAUCAAAGGGGGCCGCAAGGCUCCUGUCUGGAGAGGGGUCCGCGUCCGAUUAGCUAGUUGGUAGGGUAAUGGCCUACCAAGGCGACGAUCGGUAGCCGGCCUGAGAGGGUGAUCGGCCACACUGGAACUGAGACACGGUCCAGACUCCUACGGGAGGCAGCAGUGGGGAAUUUUGCGCAAUGGGGGGAACCCUGACGCAGCAACGCCGCGUGGAGGAUGAAGGUCCUUGGGUUGUAAACUCCUGUCAGCAGGGAAAAAGGUUUUCGGGUUAAUACCUCGGAAGCUUGAUUGUACCUGCAGAGGAA
rnacentral:rRNA from 1 species